UACGGGGGGGGGCAAGCGUUUGUUCGGAAUUACUGGGCGUAAAGGGCGCGUAGGCGGUUUGCUAAGUUGGAUGUGAAAACUCUGGGCUUAACCCAGAGCCUGCAUCCAAAACUGGCAAACUUGAGUACUGGAGGGGAAAGCGGAAUUCCUGGUGUAGCGGUGAAAUGCGUAGAUAUCAGGAGGAACACCGGUGGCGAAGGCGGCUUUCUGGACAGUAACUGACGCUGAGGCGCGAAAGCUAGGGGGAGCAAACAGG
rnacentral:rRNA from 1 species